rnacentral:piRNA from 1 species
CAGAGAAACUGUGAUACCCCGCCUU